rnacentral:rRNA from 1 species
GACGAACGCUGGCGGCGUGCCUAAUACAUGCAAGUCGAGCGGAUGAGAAAGGAGCUUGCUCCUUUCGAUUCAACGGCGGACGGGUGAGUAACACGUGGGCAACCUGCCUGUAAGACUGGGAUAACUCCGGGAAACCGGGGCUAAUACCGGAUAACUCAUGAGACUGCAUAGUCUGAUGAUAAAAGAUGGUUUUGCUAUCACUUACAGAUGGGCCCGCGGCGCAUUAGCUAGUUGGUGAGGUAACGGCUCACCAAGGCGACGAUGCGUAGCCGACCUGAGAGGGUGAUCGGCCACACUGGGACUGAGACACGGCCCAGACUCCUACGGGAGGCAGCAGUAGGGAAUCUUCCGCAAUGGACGAAAGUCUGACGGAGCAACGCCGCGUGAGCGAUGAAGGCCUUCGGGUCGUAAAGCUCUGUUGUUAGGGAAGAACAAGUAUGAGUUAACUGCUCAUACCGUGACGGUACCUAACGAGAAAGCCACCGCUAACUACGUGCCAGCCAGCCGCGGUAAUACGUAAGUGGCAAGCGUUGUCCGGAUUUAUUGGGCGUAAAGCGCGCGCAGGCGG